rnacentral:pre_miRNA from 1 species
UAGCAGCACGUAAUUAUUGGUGUGUGAGAAAUAAGACCCAAACCCCAAUAUUACUUGUGCUGCUUCA